GGGGACCGAACAUGCGCGGCGCCGCUCGCCGGGAGCCGCGGGAAGCCGGAGAGAGCCGCAGAGUCCCGGGCUGGCGGUGGCUUUCUUUACAGAUUCUAUGACUCCGAAAGAUGCAAAUUCCUGCAGAGGUCUUGGCAGGACUCCACAUGCCCAAGCCAUGCAGGUUCUGACGGGCUAGGCUCUGCCAGGAAACUCAGAACCACGUCAAGCCACCAGCUGGACUUACAACUUCCUGAAGUAUUCUGAAACUCAGGGAGAAUGAAGUUGGGAGAAAAGGUCACACUGCACUGCCAGAAACUGGAGCAGUCACUGCAGGUUGGCCUAUUGCCAUUCUAGAACGUCUCUCCCCUCUGGCCCAGAGUGAAGAAUAGGCACUACAGAGGGAAGGAGCAAGAGUGGCUUAUGUUGGCAGAAAGGAGAAUUGGAAUUUUGGAGCUGGGAAUUCUUCACACCUUCUACUUCUUGAAGAGGAAACAGAGGCACAGAGAAAUUCAGAGACUUACCUAAGGUCACACAGCAGAGUCAGUAUUGAAAUCCAGACCUUUGGACUUUAAGUUCAAUAUGCUUUCACU